GGAUUACGGAUGAGAAUCAGGAUUGGUUUUUGGAAGGUGGAUUUGUGAGUAAUUAUUUUUAUAGUAUUAAUAAAUGAAGGGUGGAAUAACAUGUGUACAUAUUGCCCGUCGCUCUCGUUAUUUUUGAGAUAAGUCGUAACAUAGUUGAUGAACUGGAAAGUGUAUCUUUUUGA
rnacentral:rRNA from 1 species